AGGGCACCACCAGGAGUGGAGCCUGCGGCUUAAUUUGACUCAACACGGGAAAACUCACCCGGCCCGGACACCGUAAGGAUUGACAGACUGAGAGCUCUUUCUUAAUUCGGUGGGUGGUGGUGCAUGGCCGUUCUUAGUUGGUGGAGCGAUUUGUCUGGUUAAUUCCGAUAACGAACGAGACUCAGGCCUAUUAAAAUAGUCGGUGUAUCGCUCAGUACUCCGUACUUUCUUUAGAGGGACCAAGCGGGCGUCUAGCCGGCAUGAGAUUGAGCAAAUAACAGGGUUCUUGUGAUGCCCCUUAAGAAUGUCCGGGGGCUUGCACCGGCGGCGCCUACACUGGAAAGAAGUCUCAGUGUGUGCGGUUCUCCCGCCUAGAGUCGCGGAAGGGACUGGGGUAACCCCCAGGCACCUUCUUUUCGUUGCUUGGGGAUAAGGGAAAUUGCCAAUUAUAUUUCCCCUUUGAAACGAAGGAAUUCCCAGUAAGCCGUUGGGUCAUAAGGCUCGGCGUUGGUUUACGUC
rnacentral:rRNA from 1 species